rnacentral:rRNA from 1 species
AGGUCCGCUCUGGUUCUGACGUGCAAAUCGAUCAUUAGACCUGGGUAUAGGGGCGAAAGACUAAUCGAACUCUCUAGUAGCUGGUUCCAUCCGAAGUUUCCCUCAGGAUAGUUGGAGUAUUAAGCAGUUCCAUCUGGUAAAGACAAUGAUUAGAGGCCUUGGGGAUGAAACAUCCUCAACCUAUUCUCAAACUCUAAAUGGGUGGGAAGGGUGAGUUGCUUGAGUGAACUCGCCCGACAUAGAAUGCGACGUGCUCCAAGUGGGCCAUAUUUGGUAAGCAGAUCUGGCGAUGCGGGAUGAACCGAACGCAGGGCUAAGGCGCCAAACUCGACGCUCAUUCCAGAACCCACAAAAGGUAUUGACUGGUCGAGACAGCAGGACGGUGGUCAUGGAAGUCGAAAUCCGCUAAGGAGUGUGUAACGACUCACCUGCCAAACCAGUUAGUCCUGAAAAUGGAUGGCGCUCAAGCGUCGGGCCUAUGCUCUGCCGUAGAUCCAAGUUGUUUUGGUCUACGAGUAGGAUGGCGUGGCGGUCGUGAAAAAGCGUUGGGCGUGAGCCCGCGUCGAACGGCCGCUAGUGCAGAUCUUGGUGGGAGUAGCAAAUAUUCAAAUGAGAACUUUGAAGACUGAAGUGGGGAAAGGUUCCACGUGAACAGCAAUUGGACGUGGGUUAGUCGAUCCUAAGAGAUAGGAGAAAUCCGUUUCAAAGCGGGUGAUUUUCGGAUCGCCUCUUCUAUCGAAAGGUAAUCGGGUUAAUAUUCCCGAACCAGGACGUGGAUAUUGAGUGGUAACACAAGCUAAGCUGGGGACGGCAGCGGGGGCCCCGGGGAGAGUUCUCUCUUCUUGUUAACAAGCGCACUGACCCUGGAAUCGGAUCGACCGGAGAUAGGGUUGGGGGCUUGGAAAAGGCGGUUAAUUUUUGACCGCUCCGGUGCGCUCUCGAUGUCCCAUGAAAACUCAGCGGAGUGACUUAUUCGCACCCCUGGUCGUACUCAUAACCGCAUCAGGUCUCCAAGGUGAGCAGCCUCUAGUCGAUAGAAGAAUGUAGGUAAGGGAAGUCGGCAAAAUGGAUCCGUAACUUUGGGAGAAGGAUUGGCUCUGAGGGAAGGUGGUUAGGGGUGGCGUGUUUGAAGGGGUCUGACGGUGUGCGUGCUGUGCGAGCUCUUUCGGGGGCGAGCGCGGCGUGUGCGCUGUUGACUCUGGACGGCGUCACCAGUUGCGUAGCUUUCGGGUUGCGUGGCGUCCUGCCACGGCAUCUUCCAGCUCAGAACUGGAACGGACAAGGGGAACCCGACUGUCUAAUUAAAACAUAGCAUUGUGAUGGCCGUUGGACGGUGUUGACACAAUGUGAGUCAUGCUCAGUGGAAUUCUUGUCAAUGUUUGGAGACAAGCUUAAGCCAUUCUAAACAGCAGGAGUAACUAUGACUCUUUUAAGGUAGCCAAAUGCCUCGUCAUAUAACUAAUGACGUGCAUGAAUUGGUUUUCGAGG